GGCUGGUCCGGUGGUAGAGGGUUAUCACAACUUAUUAACAUUAGUGUCACUGAAGUUGGUAUACAACACCCCACUGCCGGAUUUGACUGGCUUAAA
ensembl:misc_RNA Y_RNA Y RNA